AAAAAUACAAAUAAAGCCGGAAUGUAAGAAAUACAAAAAAAAAAGCAUGAUUGUGUGAUAAUUCAAUUGAAUUCUUUUCUUAUAAAAUUAUUUAUUCAAAAAAAGCCUUAAAGAUCAUCCGCACAAAUUGAAGCAACACUAACUGAAUAACAUUAAUAUGUGCUCAACAGUAAAUAUAAUAAAAUUUGCAGCUAAAAAUAGCCAGUUUAUGAGCUUAAAACAUUUGAUAUAUUUAAGUUCAGUUGUACAAUUGCUUCAUGCGAAUAAAAAUAAAUUAGGGUUUGCACAAGUCAGUGUUAGAAGACAUGCAGAGUAAAAAUAAAACGCCAGAUUGACAAAAUCCCUGAUUAGCUUACCCGCUUUUAAGAAAACAUAAUUUAGAGUAUCAAACUGCUAGAUAUUGCAG
rnacentral:misc_RNA from 1 species